rnacentral:rRNA from 1 species
UACGGGGGGGGGGUAAGCGUUGUUCGGAAUUACUGGGCGUAAAGGGCUCGUAGGCGGCCAACUAAGUCAGACGUGAAAUCCCUCAGCUUAACUGGGGAACUGCGUCUGAUACUGGAUGGCUUGGAUCCGGGAGAGGGAUGCGGAAUUCCAGGUGUAGCGGUGAAAUGCGUAGAUAUCUGGAGGAACACCGGUGGCGAAGGCGGCAUCCUGGACCGGUAUUGACGCUGAGGAGCGAAAGCCAGGGGAGCAAACGGG